rnacentral:rRNA from 1 species
CAGCAGCCGCGGGAAUACAGAGGGUGCGAGCGUUAAUCGGAUUUACUGGGCGUAAAGCGUGCGUAGGCGGCUUUUUAAGUCGGAUGUGAAAUCCCUGAGCUUAACUUAGGAAUUGCAUUCGAUAAUGGGAAGCUAGAGUAUGGGAGAGGAUGGUAGAAUUCCAGGUGUAGCGGUGAAAUGCGUAGAGAUCUGGAGGAAUACCGAUGGCGAAGGCAGCCAUCUGGCCUAAUACUGACGCUGAGGUACGAAAGCAUGGGGAGCAAACAGGAUUAGAUACCCCUGUAGUCCCUGUCUCUUAUAC